UCAGGCCUAACACAUGCAAGUCGAGGGUCUGUUUUAGCAAUAGAGCAGGCACUGGCAUCCGGGUGAGUAACGCGUAGGUGAUCUACCCCUAUCACAGACAUAACAGUUCUAACGGACUGCUAAUAUCUGAUGAGGCGAGUAAUCGUCAAAGCUUUGGCGGAUAGGGAUGAGCCUGCGUCUGAUUAGGUAGUUGGUGAGGUAACGGCUCACCAAGCCGACGAUCAGUAGCUGGUCUGAGAGGACGAACAGCCACA
rnacentral:rRNA from 1 species